rnacentral:lncRNA from 13 species
GUGGUGAAAUGGAAAUGCUUAACUUCCUACACCUUGGUUCCUGAGUCUGUGCUCUAACCACAAGGUUGUACUGCUUCUCCACUGUGUGCUUAAGAGAAAGCUGGGAAAAUGGAAAUGUUGGAUCCAUUCAUAGAAAUCGAUUUGUGGGCCAGCUGGGGUUCAGCUGAUGUAGGCUCUGCUCUGCUGGAGGCAGCAAGCUGGGUUCAGAUCUCUUCAGAUGACCUUCUAUAAGGUCAUCCCGCCUUAUGACCCUCUCACACCUUCUUUGGACCAGGAGGCAAGCCAGGACAGGUUUAUGUCACAGCACUGACAAAAAUGGCUCCCACAGUUGCCAUGGAUAUCUCCUACAGGAGGCUUUGCAAGUUCCACAUGAAGGGGCUGAAAUUAAUAAACUCCUUUGAACUCAGAGGAAACAAACCAGGGCUGAUUUUGAGGUUCCAAUGUGCCCUUGUGAAUGCGGAUUUUGGAAGAGAUACUAACAAUAGGGCCCCACAAGGCAGUAUGAGCAGCUUCAGCAUACGAUGGGAUAGAGGAGCCACUUCCGCUGAACCCACGCUGAUCCCUUGCUCUGCCUGUUCCUCAGAACAUGUAAGUCAGGGAGGGAGAGUGAAGUCAUCCUUUGGAGAGGCGCGACGUUGGUGCAGAGAGAUUCUCCCUACUUCCUUCUACUUCCCCCGAGGUUCUACUCCUUGUGGCAAAAUGAGAGCAGCACAAAGAAAAUUGCUC